AAGGAAGUUGCAGGAGGAAAGUUGCUGUUUUGUUACUGUAUAAGGGUGGCACAUCUCUGCAGCUUCUUUUGGUGCACGUAGUAAGAAUGAGUAUAUAACAUGUAUGCCAGAAGGAAGUGGAAUUGGACAAAUACAGCAAGUUAAGGCAAUCCAAAGCUUUGAGACAAAGAAAAAAUAAAUCCAUUAGGAAGGACACGUAGGACAUGCAUGAACAACACCCAUGCAUACCACCUAAGAACUUGCUUUCUUGCUUGGAAGAACAAAUAGCAUUUUCUCUCUGAACUCUGUUCAUUUUGCAGACAAAGCUACCAAGCUCACUGGACAAAAGUACAAAAGUCAUAAGAGAAGUAGAAGGCUCAAUCUUGAUAAUUUUUCUCAUGCUAAGGAAAGCUUUCAACACACAGGAGGAACUGCCAUGUGGAUGUGAAAAAGCUCUUUUAAAGGAACAGCUACCAAUAGGCAAGUGAGCCAGAAUACUUUUGUGCAGGAAUGUGCGUUUCUCACAUAGCUCAGGCUACCAAAAGGAAUACAAAUAUUUGCAGGAGUAGAAAAAGAUGCAGAAAGGACAGUGAAUCCUCUCACUGCUGAAACACCCUAAGUAGAAGCAGUGGAGACUCCAAGGAGAAGAAGAGUCUGGAGAAAUCAGCAACUUAAGAGUAACAGUGAAUGAGAAGAAGAGACUGGGAGAGGGAAGAAAAAGGCCUCUGGAUUUCCACCAGAAUUAAACUGGAGAAAUGGGAGCAGGAGGGGCACAGGAGAAGCAGGUUAAAGAGAUUUUGCUCCUAUCUUCGUCAGCAAAGAGGGAGUAGGAAACAAGACCCGGACAGCAUUUCUCCCAAGUCUGCUGCUCUAGGCAACUGUUUACUUUGCUUUUGCCCAAGAUAGCGUGAGACGUUAUAAAAUGAGUUUCCACAAUGCUCUGAGUCACCAGAAUAUGGAUGAGAUCUGUGGAUUCAAGCCACCUUUCAAGAUUAUGAAUCUCUUCUGAAUAUCCAUUAUGCCAAUGAUACAUAACAAAAUCACUGCUGUAAUGUGAUGCACAUGUCAACUUUAAGGAUACAGUCCCUGCUCAGAUGGCAUCAGCAUAGGGAAACGUCAGCAUGGUGGAUUACCAGAGCAAAUGCUUUAACAUGCAAUGUGAUGCAAUGUGUUUUAACAACAAUUGUUCCCUUAUGUUUGUUUGUGUCAGGUUUGACGUGACUAUCCGCCAGGACAAUGCUCAGGAUUCUGUGUGUUGCAUUGCAGAAACUGAUUAUGUGAUCAAAUGCUUAAAGCACAUAAAAUCACGCCCAAGAUUCGAUGAGAUAUAUAUGCCAGAAAAUUCAGUAGGUGCUUAAAGUAAUUGACGCUAACAGCUAGACCUGGGUUUUUCAAAGGAAUAAGCGUUUUUGUUUGUUUGUUUUUCCUAAUGCAAUAUAAUAUAAACUGCCUAGAAAUUCAGCCUUAGCAUAAUGUUCAGAUCAAAUGAAAUUCACCCGUUAAGAAAGAACAUACACAGGGUCCUCCCUGAAGUGGAAAAGACAGCCUCUGAGUAGAACAGAUACCCUGGGAGACUUCUUACCCUGUGCACAUGCCCAAAAAGACAGCUCUGAAUCUAACUGCAUUGUAGAUCUAAUGCUUGUAGGAUUUGGAGGCUCAACGCUGAGCUGUAGCUCUCAGCAGCCCUUUUUCCCCAGUCCGUGAAACUCAGAAUCCAGUGGAGACAAAAACCUCUAUAGAAAUACUGUAUAUGUAAAUGGACUUAGAAGAAAAAGGGAGGGGUACCUGCUCUUAAAUUAGUCAUAUUUAAAAUGUAUUCUCAGAACACACUGAACUAUCAAACAGUCCCCAAAGUGAAGAAAUGUGAUUCUCAUUCAAGACUUAAGAGCAAAAGGCAAAACAACUGUGUCCCUUGCUCCAAAGUCAUUAUCUCACAUUAAGACUUCAUCCUGUUCUCCCAGUUCAGAAUUUAGUCUGGUUCUAAUGGCUCACUAGACAGUUUUGCAAGAUCUUCAUGCUCUCAUAGGUAUUUAGGCACUGAAAUCAGUGAGAAGUGGUACCUGUACACUUUCAGAAAUCUGUCUUUAAUUUCAACAUCCCAUAAAUUUUUUUAACAAAAACAUCCUUCAUCUUUUCUGCUUCACAAGUGAGUUGUGAAGCUUAAUUACACAAUGAUUAUGAAGUCCAGCAAAUACAACAUAUAUUAAGAGUAGUUAAUGAGAUUUCUGUCACAAGCAGACUCCCUCUUGUAAAAUAUUACUCACAUGUUGCAGGAAAAAAAACUCAAGAGAAAAAAAUACAGAUGCAUUAAAUAUAAAACAAAUCUAGCUUGAUUACUUCCACAAAUAAUAUGUUAUACAACUCUAAAACAUCUGUCAGGACAGCAUAGAGAAUAGCAUAGGCUUUUCUGACCAGAAUGGAAUCCUGUCAGCACGGAAUUCUGUCAGCACAUCCAUGUACUCAUUUUUACCUGCAGUGCCCAUCCAAGACAGGGCCUCCAGACCCACACACGAUCUGCUUCCCAUGAGAUCUAGUGGCUUAAAUACCUUCAAAGACCAGACAUGAAGUUCUGUUCCUUCAAAUCACAGAAUCAUGGAAUCAUAAAAUGGCUUGGGUUGGAAGGGACACCCAAGGAUCAUCAAGUUCCAAUCCCUCUGCUGCAGGCAGGGCCACCAACCUGUGGUGGUUGUAAAUAUUUCCCAAAAAGAUGCCAGCAUACUAACCAAUUACCACAUUUAACAGCACAGUGGAAGAUGGCUAGACAACUAUGAGCAGACAGACGAUCGUACAGAAGGCAUUGCUUGCAUACUUAGUGAUUUCUCAGGCCAUAACAAAGCAUACAGCCUAACUAGGGUAGGAGGACUCAAAAGAGGAAGACCAUUCCUUAAUAAUACAGAGCUCUUUGGCACAUUUCUUUUCUGUGAACAAACAGUGUAGCUGUUAAAAUACAUUUCCUGUUAGCAAUUAUGGCUCAGAGCUCACAGACGCUUUUACAGAACUUGGACAGGAGUGAUUUUCAGUACAUAGUGUCUCUAACAGCAAGUUAUAUUAAUAUUCACCAAAGGAAAACCUGUUUGUUGACCCAAAGUGUGACUGCUUACAAUUCUCUUCUUGUGAAAUUAUUUAGGUCCUGUGGGACAACUGUACUGAGCUUUUGACGCAAAUAUUAAAAUUCUAUUUAAAUGUACAAUGUUUUAAUGCAAAUUUUUACCAUAAAACCAAAUGCUCCAUUCAGUUAAAUUAAUAGAAUUACAAAAAGAUGUAAUGAUAGCAAUUAAGUCUUGAAAAUGCAAAUUUUAUAGUCAAGGACAAUUACCUCAUUUAUAGUAUCCUGGAAUGAUGCCAGAUGAAGGUAAUUUAGAUCUCCCUAGCUCACAGUUAUAUCAUGAAGGAUAUCUUAAUUUCAUUAGUACAACAAAGAUGGGUGAGAACUUGGACAAUAUGAAAAAAAAAAGGGAGGGAGAGAUGGGAGAGAAAAUUUGACCUUUCUCAUUUCACCGCAACUAGAAUACAUAGAUCUUACUAAAGGAUUAGUAAUAUUUCUUUCUAUUCCUAUCUCUGGGGAAAAAAAGGGGGGGGGGGGGGGCACUUUUUUCUUUUCUUUUUUUUUAUUAGCAGCAAUGGAACAUUAGUAUGAAAAAGGUCAACUCCCUUCAGAUUCUUAGAGCCACUAUGCCCACAUCACAACAGUUAUGGACCAUUCCUUCUUUCAGUUUUAAGGAUGAAUACAGCAUUGGCUCUUGGCUGACAGAGUAUCAAGCUAUGGCCUAGGGACACAUGGUUUUGACUCCAAUAUGAUUUAAAAUGUUCUUGAAAAAUUCUUCUUGCUCUUACAAAUACAGCCCCACUUCAUCCAAAGAGGCAAGUCAAAAAUCAUCAGUUUCUCAUUAGCAAGCAAAGAGUGAUCAAGUAGACAAAGAAUACAGAUUGAUAUGCCAUAGAUUCAGUAGUCUCCUUUGAAGGAAAAACAAAACCAAACUCUCAUACAAGUUCUUUAGCACAUUAUCAAGUUCAAAUAGGAGUUUGCAAUACUGCAGAUAUCCCUCUUCCUUUCCUUUCUCUUUGCUGUAGUAGCUACCCUUGACCCUUGAAGAGAUUUCAAAAAAAAAGCAUAUUAAAUAAGGUGCACCAUAAAGUUUAAUUUUAAAACUUUACAACUCUCAAUUUUUCUUCCUGGCCUGUUGUAGCCACUGCAAAGAAACUCAACUUCCAGAAAAAUAGCUGCAUCCACCUAAAAUCUUCUUACAUCAAAUUCCCUUACCAAACCUAACAUGUAGGCUCUGGAGAGAGCGGAAACCUCCAAGGACAGAGUAGCAAACUUCACCUCUCUCCUUAUCUUGAACACAACUAACAAAGAUAACAUGAAAAAGCCUUCCCAAGAGUAGAAAUAUCUGCUUACCGUCAGCAUUUGGUGGUUUUGCUGUAGAUGGUGCAUGCUGAAGCCAUCCCAACCUCCUGCUGACAAACCUUUCCUUAACACCCUGAGAUAGGCAGGUUCUAGAGGAUCGGCUUUAUAACUUCGAACAGCACCACAUAGCGACAGGAAUGCAGCAUUAGAAACCCCCAACACUCCUCAGAAAGGGUUUCUUCCAUCCAGUUAUUCUGUUUUAUGAAAAACAAGCCUUUUCUGAAGGAAAAAGUACCUUAAUUUUUCAUGUCAACGAUGCUAUCAGUCACCUCUGCCGCUUGAAAACAAUGGAUGACACUCUGGCUCAAGGAAAGCCACCUGCUUCCUUUGGGGUUAAGACGUCUUUUGGUGAAUUUCAUCUCCUAUCAAGCAAUAGCAAAAUUAGAGCUUGUACCACUAUUGCCUUCGUUCCGUGCUUUUGAUGCUUAUAAUCCCAUUACACCUGACAACUUAACCUGAGCUUGUUAUUCAUAGACAUGUAUGGUCUGAUGAAACAUUCCCAACUCCUGAAAAAUCUUUUUGUGUGUUGUUGGGAGAUUUGGCCUAAUAAGAAGUGCUUGAGUGGGUGUAGACUGGGUAUGUUUGUGCCAUAUUAUACAAUAUGGCUUAAAUUUCCAUGGCAUUUUAUUGGAAAGUGUGAACCUGACAAGCUAAUAGUUUGUGAAUCUGUUGAGUCUCUGCUGUUGCAUGGAGAAACGUUUUGUCUAGGCUAUUCCCAGUAUGCUUCAAUUGUAAAAAAAACAGGCUGCGAUCAUAACACAUCUUCAUGUAAAUCAAAGUAAAUUUCUGCAGGACAAUAUUUACCACUGUUAUGUACCGCAGAUCUCCCAAUUCCUCAUUUGACCUAACAGUCGGAAUGAUCUCAGGCCAGCAAUAAGCUGAAUACUGGUUGCUAAGUAAUAUUUAAUUUAAGCAUGAUGUUGUGGUCAACAAAAUGAAUUAGCAUUUUCUGCAUUAAUGAAGAUCCAGGCCUAAAAUCAAAUGAUGAUGUCAAAAAAUUAUGGAAAAUAUUAUUGAUCUAAUUCUUCCUUUUAUUACACUGACAGAGAAACAUGCUUCUUGGAAAUGUUACAUGUGAAGGAAGAAUUUUUCCUAUUGCAUCUUCUUUCAAGAGAUUCAGUUUUCUACUCAGGACUCCAAGAGAGUAAUUUACAUUUGUGAUCACCCAGCCAAUUCAAGGCAACUGUGGAAAGAAACACUAGUAAGAAUUCAUUUUGUUGAUCUUAUCAUAAAUGUGAGAGAGAUUUAACUUUAUCCUAAAUUCCACUAAAACCUAGAAUGCAAUAAAGAAAUAAUCAUACAUGAAUUUGAGUCAGUACUGUUCCUCAUCAUUAGGCCACCUGACAAGCUAGAAAGCAACUUCGCUAGUGCAUAUUCAUUCCAAAUUAAUACAGUAAUUCUGAAAACUGUUUCUUUUUUCCCCUACUUUUAUGCAUUUAUUGCUUUAUUUCUCUAUUGCUAUUUCCAGUCCAUAAUGCAAUGCAGCUUGUGGAAUGUAAUCCCCUUUCUUCUCCUGACCAAACUCCACUCUGAAUGCUGCAUGGAUGGGAUCCUUUCUUUUCUGUUUUUUUAAUGUUUUUCUUCUCACUUUACAUAUUCUCAAAAAUGAGAUGAAUUUCUGAUUAUUUUCCAUUUUCCCCACUUUAUGAAUAUUAGAGUGGUUUUCUUUUGCAAUGUGGCUUGGCCUGCAUUUCAAAGUCCACAUUUUGAGUGGUUCCCUGUGAUUUUUGGACACUUGGCAUUUUCUGGGUCCAACUCAGAGAACUGUUUGAUUUUCAAAUAUUCAGAGCAUUCUCAAAGCCUGUUAAGUACAGACAAUACUUUCAGUGUUCUUUAGGUCCUUUAGGCUUAUUUUUUCAUUAACCCAAAACUGAGGUAAAAAAAAUCCUGUGUUCUAUGAAUUCCACAGUGUUGUGCAGAGAAGGGCAGUGGGAAAACUGAGUUAAAUGCAGGAUUCAAGUUUUUCUGACUCUUGCACAACUUGUUGUCUAAUGGACCCCAUAGGCUCUCAGCAAUACCAGCUGUCUCUAAAAUUCAACCAACAGUGGAAAUGACUACCGCUGUUCUGUCCAUGGAAAGCAUGAAAAGGUUAUUUAAAAAAAAAAAAAAAAGAGUGGCUUGCUUAGAUAUCACACAAAUGUAUUUGCUUUUUUUUUACUUAGUGAAAAGGCUGUAUUAUAAAAGUAAACUUUUCAAAACAGAAAAAGUAGGUAUCAAAUACAGGAAAGAAACAAAAAGACUAUAAAGUAAUCUUUACAAAAGCAGAUUGCACUGACACUGUCUUGCUCACAGUAACACACAAAGUAAUUUCAUAAAACCCAGCUUUUAUCUUGUUCUAAUAAAACAUCAAGCUAGCAACAUUAUGGUGAGGGCUUUCAUUUUCUUUUUGAUAUAGAUUCUGAUUGGAAGUAUUAGCUGAUGCAGCAGGAUAAAUAAAGAAAUGCCUAGAUUGUUAUGGUUCCC
ensembl:lncRNA